rnacentral:tRNA from 1 species
UCGUGGCUCAAUGGUAGAGCACUUCACUCGUAAUGAAGUGGUUGCGGGUUCGAUUCCCGCCG